GCUAACUACGUGCCAGCAGCCGCGGUAAUACGUAGGGGGCAAGCGUUGUCCGGAAUUAUUGGGCGUAAAGGGCGCGCAGGCGGUUUCCUAAGUCUGAUGUGAAAGCCCACGGCUCAACCGUGGAGGGUCAUUGGAAACUGGGGAACUUGAGUACAGGAGAGGAGAGUGGAAUUCCACGUGUAGCGGUGAAAUGCGUAGAUAUGUGGAGGAACACCAGUGGCGAAGGCGGCUCUCUGGCCUGUUACUGACGCUGAGGCGCGAAAGCGUGGGUAGCGAACAGGAUUAGAUACCCUGGUAGUC
rnacentral:rRNA from 1 species